GAUGAACGCUGGCGGCGUGCCUAAUACAUGCAAGUCGAGCGAACAGAUAAGGAGCUUGCUCCUUUGACGUUAGCGGCGGACGGGUGAGUAACACGUGGGGAACCUACCUAUAAGACUGGGAUAACUUCGGGAAACCGGAGCUAAUACCGGAUAAUAUUUCGAACCGCAUGGUUCGAUAGUGAAAGAUGGUUUUGCUAUCACUUAUAGAUGGACCCGCGCCGUAUUAGCUAGUUGGUAAGGUAACGGCUUACCAAGGCGACGAUACGUAGCCGACCUGAGAGGGUGAUCGGCCACACUGGAACUGAGACACGGUCCAGACUCCUACGGGAGGCAGCAGUAGGGAAUCUUCCGCAAUGGGCGAAAGCCUGACGGAGCAACGCCGCGUGAGUGAUGAAGGUCUUCGGAUCGUAAAACUCUGUUAUUAGGGAAGAACAUACGUGUAAGUAACUGUGCACGUCUUGACGGUACCUAAUCAGAAAGCCACGGCUAACUACGUG
rnacentral:rRNA from 1 species